rnacentral:rRNA from 1 species
UACCAUGGUGGUAACGGGUAACGGGGUGUUAGGGCACGACACCGGAGAGGGAGCCUGAGAAACGGCUACCACAUCCAAGGAAGGCAGCAGGCGCGCAAAUUACCCAAUCCCGACACGGGGAGGUAGUGACAAUAAAUAACAAUACGGGGUUCUUUAGGAUCUCGUAAUUGGAAUGAGUACAAUUUAAAUCUCUUAACGAGGAACAAUUGGAGGGCAAGUCUGGUGCCAGCAGCCGCGGUAAUUCCAGCUCCAAUAGCGUAUAUUAAAGUUGUUGCAGUUAAAAAGCUCGUAGUUGAAUUUCGGGAUCAAUACGUCGGUCGUGCUUUCGGGUACGUACUGGCGUCAUUGGUUUCUCCUUUCUGACGAACCAUGAUGUCAUUAAUUUGGUGUUAUGGGGAGUUAGGACUGUUACUUUGAAAAAAUUAGAGUGUUUAAAGCAGGCAUUAGCUUGAAUACAUUAGCAUGGAAUAAUGAAAUAGGACGUUCGAUCCUAUUUUGUUGGUUUCUAGGAUCAACGUAAUGAUUAAUAGGGAUAGUUGGGGGCAUUAGUAUUCAAUUGUCAGAGGUGAAAUUCUUGGAUUUAUUGAAGACUAACUACUGCGAAAGCAUUUGCCAAGGAUGUUUUCAUUAAUCAAGAACGAAAGUUAGGGGAUCGAAGACGAUCAGAUACCGUCGUAGUCUUAACCAUAAACUAUGCCGACUAGGGAUCGGAUGAUGUUAAUUUUUUAAUGACUCAUUCGGCGCCUUACGGGAAACCAAAGUGUUU